rnacentral:rRNA from 1 species
CCUACGGGAGGCAGCAGUAGGGAAUAUUGCUCAAUGGGGGAAACCCUGAAGCAGCAACGCCGCGUGGAGGAUGAAGGUUUUCGGAUUGUAAACUCCUUUUGUUAGAGAAGAUAAUGACGGUAUCUAACGACUAAGCACCGGCUAACUCCGUGCCAGCAGCCGCGGUAAUACGGCGGGUGCAAGCGUUACUCUGAAUCACUGGGCGGAAAGAGCGCGUAGGCGGGAUAGCAAAUCAGAUGUGAAAUCCUAUGGCUUAACCAUAGGAAUGCAUUUGAAACUGUUAUUCUAGAGUAUGGGAGAGGUAGGUGGAAUUCUUGGUGUAGGCGUAGAAUCCGU